GACGAACGCUGGCGGCGUGCUUAACACAUGCAAGUCGAACGGAAAGGCCCUGCUUUUGUGGGGUGCUCGAGUGGCGAACGGGUGAGUAACCCGUGAGUAACCUGCCCUUGACUUUGGGAUAACUUCAGGAAACUGGGGCUAAUACCGGCUAGGAGCUCCUGCUGCAUGGGGGGGGUUGGAAAGUUUGGGCGGUUGGGGAUGGACUCGCGGUUUAUUAGCUUGUUGGUGGGGUAGUGGCUUAUCAAGGGUUUGACAGAUAGCCGGCCUGAGAGGGUGACCGGCCACAUUGGUACUGAGAUACGGACCAGACUCCUACGGGAGGCAGCAGUGGAGAAUAUUGCACAAUGGGCGGAAGCCUGAUGCAGCAAUGCCGCGUGCGGGAUGACGGCCUUGGGGUUGUAAACCGCAUUCGCCUGUGACGAAGCGUGAGUGACGGUACUGGGUAAAGAAGCACCGGCUAACUACGUG
rnacentral:rRNA from 1 species